rnacentral:lncRNA from 1 species
UAAAAACCCAAAUCCAUAAAUAGAUGAAUGUAUAUUUAAAUGGUAUAUAAUGAAAGUGAAAAUCAAAAUAUUCACAGCAAACAUAGUCUGACAAGAUGGUCAUUGCUGCGACAUCAAAGCACGUGUCUCAUCUGUUGGUUGUAGCCCUUCUCGUUCUGGCAACAUGCUCUGCUUCACAAGUAUGGUUAUAAGUCACAGAGGGGACGAGUGUCAAGACGCCGGGGAAAUCUGGCAGGAAUCUCCCAGUGCUAUAGCUUUGGACAACUUGCAUGCCAUGCGUCUGGAUUCAUUGUUCGGUGUUACACCUCCUCUCAAAGAUGUGAUGGAACUCUCAACUGUCCAAUGGGAGAGGACGAAUUCAAUUGUGUGUCCGACAUAACAGUAACAAGAGCAUACUUCUCCACAACGACAUCGACAACGACCACAACUUACACUACGACCUCUUCAAUGACUGUUUCUGCAAUAACAACCACGACUGUCACCAGCUCGACGACAAUCACCUCGACAUCGACUCGGAAGCUUACAGCCGUCAUACCAUGGAAAGCGACAAGCUCCUCAUCUACGGUGAUUGUUGUCUCCACAUUUGUGUAUGAUACACCAGUGCAGGUUGUGUCUGCAGACGGGACCUAUACGGCUGACGAAAUCGUAUGUGAAUUUCUUGCCGAAGUGCCUACCGAAGGAACUACUGCUAGCUCUAACGCUUUCCUUGUUACUACUUCCACACCGACGAUAGCUAUUCCAGCAACCGCACACGUGAUGUGCAUGCCGUCUACUACAUCAUUUGAUUAGUCAAAAGAAGCAUUUCUAGAACAUUUUUGAGAACUUCUACAAGUAAUUAAGAUACAUUUACUUAAUGAAGGAGUUAAGUUUACUGACACAUUUAUUCGCUUCUGUCAAUAUAGACAACCGUUAAUGGCCGUGUACCUGUAAGAGAAGAUCACAGGAAAAGAAAAGACAAAUGGGUGAUGUUUGUUUUAAAACGACAAUGCAAGCCUUAGAUAAAACGAAAAAUUAUGCAUAUAUUCAAUAAUAAGAUAAUGUAGAAAUUAAGCCAAGGCGGUUACCAGUAAGAUUUUUGUAUUCAGACGACAAUUUAGUGUUUGAUCAUUAUACAAGCCAAGAAAAAAAAACGAGGAAAAACAAUGCAUCGAAAUUUCAUAUAGUUUUACCAUGUGGUGUUUUUUAAUGCUGCUAGACACGUAUGAAUUUAUUUACAUUUACACCAAAAUUCACGCACGAAUCAAUGACAGACACUCUCAAAAUGCUAAAGCGCAAUUAUUUCAUAAAUAAUAUAAUAAGCCCUUAUUUUUUAUACUUUUCAAAAUGUUUUAAAGAAAACAAACACGCACCGCGCAGGUAAAUUCGCUUUUAUUGUGUAAUUUUAGUUUGAAGUGGGAAAUGUGUAUUUGAUUUUUUAACAAUCGCCCGAAAAUAUUUUUAAGCUUACUGAUAUCUGUUAAAUAGGUGGGUUCUUUUCUGCACAAUAAAUGUUUUCGGGGUAUUGUGUAUUUCUUAAGUUCAUUAGACCUGAGCCUUUGAAUACGAAAUUCCUGAAUUAUUUUUUGAAAUUUAAAUAAGAAUGGUACAAAUAGCAGUCUUCAGAAUGUAGCAGCUAAUUAAUAUGUUGGUACAAAAUGGCCGCAGACAAAUGCAGUAGAAUACUUCUUAAAUUUUCAUUACUCUAUUUUCAACAUGCAUAAAGGUAUUUUUCUAUGACAGGCUUGUUCUUUGAAGCCUUGAUGUAUAAUAUUAACCUUUAUCCCUGGUGAAUAAAAGUAUUAAAAAACAUCGUAAAUAUGUUU